rnacentral:rRNA from 1 species
CGGAAUCUACUUUUUCGUGGGGGAUAACGUAGGGAAACUUACGCUAAUACCGCAUACGACCUACGGGUGAAAGCAGGGGACCUUCGGGCCUUGCGCGAUUGAAUGAGCCGAUGUCGGAUUAGCUAGUUGGCGGGGUAAAGGCCCACCAAGGCGACGAUCCGUAGCUGGUCUGAGAGGAUGAUCAGCCACACUGGAACUGAGACACGGUCCAGACUCCUACGGGAGGCAGCAGUGGGGAAUAUUGGACAAUGGGCGCAAGCCUGAUCCAGCCAUACCGCGUGGGUGAAGAAGGCCUUCGGGUUGUAAAGCCCUUUUGUUGGGAAAGAAAUCCAGCCGGCUAAUACCUGGUUGGGAUGACGGUACCCAAAGAAUAAGCACCGGCUAACUUCGUGCCAGCAGCCGCGGUAAUACGAAGGGUGCAAGCGUUACUCGGAAUUACUGGGCGUAAAGCGUGCGUAGGUGGUUGUUUAAGUCUGUUGUGAAAGCCCUGGGCUCAACCUGGGAACUGCAGUGGAAACUGGACAACUAGAGUGUGGUAGAGGGUAGCGGAAUUCCCGGU